ACCCUGUGGUCUGGUCUCAGGUCCCCUGAACCCUUGAACCGGCCCGGACCAAACCAGCAUCAAGGUCUAGGUGGGGAUGUAACUGAGUAAUGUGCUGGUCCCUUGCCUUUCUCAUUGCAUUUUGAAAGUGGGAAAUGGGGAAGGAUAUCAUGAUGUGCAUCUCUUUCAACACAACAGUAUGAGCAAAAGUUUUUUGUCAAUACAUUGUAAACUUGAUGUAAAGCAUAUUUAUUUUUUCCGGCAUUAGAUUGGUGUUUCUCUCUCUCUUUUUUCGAAAUAACUAUUAUCAAGAUCAUAAAAUUCUAAUUUACAUAUUCUUUUCUUUCUUCUAUGGGAAAUCUCAGUUACAUAACUCUUUAUCAAAA
rnacentral:misc_RNA from 1 species